CCUACGGGUGGCAGCAGUGAGGAAUAUUGGUCAAUGGACGCAAGUCUGAACCAGCCAUGCCGCGUGCAGGAAGACGCCCUUCGGGGUGUAAAGAUCUGUCAGUGGGGACGAAACUUGACGGUACCCACAGCGGAAGCACUGGCUAACUCCGUGCCAGCAGCCGCGGUAAUACGGGGGGUGCAAGCGUUGUCCGGAAUCAUUGGGCGUAAAGAGUUCGUAGGCGGCACGUAAAGGCUGGUGGUAAAGGCAGAGGCUCAACUUCUGUACGGCACUGGAUACUUGCGCGCUAGAAUGCGGUAGAGGUAAAGGGAAUGCCUGGUGUAGCGGUGAAAUGCUUAGAUAUCAGGAGGAACAUCGGUUGCGUAAGCGCUUUACUGGGCCGUAAUUGACGCUGAGGAACGAAAGCCAGGGUAGCAAAUGGGAUUAGAUACCCGAGUAGUC
rnacentral:rRNA from 1 species